GACAGAGGGUGCAAACGUUGUUCGGAAUUACUGGGCGUAAAGCGAGUGUAGGCGGUUUGGUAAGUCGGAUGUGAAAGCCCCGGGCUCAAUCCGGGAAGUGCAGUCGAUACUGCCACGCUAGAGUAUCGGAGAGGUUGGUGGAAUUCUCGGUGUAGAGGUGAAAUUCGUAGAUAUCGAGAGGAACACCGGUGGCGAAGGCGGCCAACUGGACGAAUACUGACGCUGAGACUCGAAAGCGUGGGGAGCAAACAGG
rnacentral:rRNA from 1 species